AUGAAGUAUCGCGUUUACUUGUGCCCAGUCUCUUUGCCCGAGUUAUGUAUUGUCGAGAUCUCGAUUUUGUGUCUGUCUGUCGGAUGUUUGUCGUAAUUCCGGGGAAAUAAUUAAGGCUUCAGGAAGUUUUUUAAACAAGGGGGGCGGUCAAACUUUAUUUUGUGUUGUACAUAAAGCUAGCUUAUUUACACUUUCAUGAUGCAGAACAUGGCCAAUAUUUUCAAUAAUUCAGGUAAGGAUAGCUUUAUUUCUUUCUGGUACCGGUAAUAUAUACAUGAAUUCGAAUGCAUUUAUAUUUAAUUUAGUACGUAACACUAUAUGAUUUACAUUUUCAUCAUGCAAAACAUCGCCAAUAUUUUCAACCGGCUCAGUAUAGUCUGACAGUAUAGACACUUCGAUAAAUAUACAUGAAGCUGAAGGCAUUUAUAUUUAGAACACUUUGAUUUCAUGAACUAUCAGCAUGAAUUUAUCAUGAUUUAUUAGUUUAUUUGUUUGUGUGGUGAUGACACAAGGCGAUGAGUUUAUAGUGUUCAUUCUACACGCGUAAAAAUUGAGAAAAUCAACAACUUGUUGCAAGUUGAUAUCGACAGGUGUGAACAAUGUUGUGCGGCCCACUGUGAACAGUAUUGUCAACAUGUUGUUGCAGCAUUGUUCAACUGUAACAACUUGGAACAACAUGGUUGACAACUUGUUCAUAGUUGGCCGCACAACAUUGUUCACGCCUGUCGAUAUCAACUUGCAACAACCUGUGCGUUUUUAGCCGUGUACAUGUUUAUAGCAGUGUGCUUUCGAGCACGUGUAAACACAAACUUGGAAUGAUGUAGCAAUCCAGUGUGGGUUGUUGUCUGCAAGGGCGUAUUUUCAUUUUUUCAAAAGGAGGGGUGGAUAAUUUCUAGUAGAGCUUUGGCAGGGGUUGAAGGAGGGGUGAAGCGAAAGGAGGGGUGAAGCGAAAUUUUGGCGGGGUAGAACACUUUAUAAGACCUCGGGGUUAGAGAGAUUAAAGGGGGAAGUUAACCAUACCUAAACCCCCCAGUAAAUCCGCCCAUGGUUGUCUGGAAAUAUUAGUUUACCAGCUGUUACAUGUAAUAGCAUGUCAACCGACUUUUGUACAAGGUAUGACAAUCUGUAAAAAUAUAUCUCUGUGCUCUGAGAUAGGUCCAUUGUCAGCAUAAUAUGAAAUAAUCCUACUGGCCUACACAUUCAUAUAUUCACCUGGCUGUGUUACUACAUUUUAGGGUAUACUAUAUUUUUUCAAUAAUGCUCACAAUAUCUUUCUUAUUAUAUAGUUUUGAAGUUCUGACUUAGUACAAUCUUAAUCAUUACAAAUGAAUGGUGUCAAUCUGAAGCUGGUGUAUUAAAUUAAACAAAAAUGUCAGUAGUUCUGCGAUAGGGGUAGUUUUGUAUUGUAUCUAUACAUGAAAUUGUUAUUAAAUUAAUUCUACAUGUCCAAUGAUUCAUUCAAGUAUUAUUAUUGUUUAUGUAUGUAUAUAUAUAAAUAUAUGAUAUUGUACAGUAUUCAGUGGUGAUCUAACCUGCAUGCAAUCAGGCCUAUAAAUAAAUAAAUAGGCCUGAUACAAACCUUAACAUGCCUUACAACCAUAUUUUGGUUGUAAAUCUGAUUGGUCUAUGAGACCAAAUUUUUUAAUCUGUCAUUUGAUUGGUUGGUGCUAAUUAGAUUAUACUAUUGUUGAUGAUAUAUUUUAUAGUGAGCACAACUAUAAUUAGAUUGUUGUUGUCGUUGUGUGAAAUUUAAAUUUCUCCUGCGACAUUUUGAUUUGAUACUAAAUAUAAACUUUGCUGCAUGUGGGUGGAAAGUUAUUGCAUUAAUGUUUGUGUCUGGCUAUAUUUGUAAAAUAGAGCCUGAUCUCUGGUUAGUGGUGAGCUAGUCAUUGCAACUGGUCAUGCUAUGCCUAUGCUGAUAGACAUGCAUCUAUUUGAAUGAAACAAAUCAUUAAAAACUUGCAUAGCAUGACCUGUUGCUAUGGCUAGCUUCACCACUGACAGUAUUAUAAUUAUACAUACAAAAGCAGGAAGUUAUAAGCAUUGAAGGUAUUCAUACAAAAUCGCCCAUGCCAAAAAAUUAGAAUUCCUACCCCCUGAACACCUAGGUGCCUUAGGGGCCGUUUACAUAAUGGAAGGUGGGAUGAUUUUGUUGUAUUGAAAUAAGUCACUGGGAUAAACAAAAGUUUAAAUGCUGGUUAACAGAACUCAAAUGUUGUAGAGAAGAUCUUGUGUUCAAGAAGAUUAUUAUUGGUGGUUGAAAAAACCUUUCGUUUACAAAAUGUUUAGGAACGAACUUUCCAUAAGCCUCAUGUUAAUAGUAUAUUUUGUGUUCAAUAUAUAGACCAGAGUAAGACUUUUUUAAAUGUGCGUAUUACAUUAUUAACAAACGACGUUUCAGAGAUUUACUCCAUCUUCAGUUAGUAAGGAUUAAAGUAAGUCUUACUGUGGUCUAUAUAUUAAACACAAAAUAUACUUUCGUUUACAAACUAUCUCUAGAAAAUAAUGAAGUUUUUGUUGAAUCGUGCACCAUGACUUCUUUCAAUACAUCGAAUUUAUCUGCCUCAUAGCUUGUCCUGGCAAAGCGGGAUCAUAUAAACAGCCCCUUAUUCAGAAAAUUGUGCAUGCUGCCUUUGAUCCCUUCGGGGAUGAGGCAGCACUUUCCUUGCGAUAGUAACUUCUAGUUUAUAGCUAAUUAACAUAUUUCUUGAGAGGCGCUAAAAGUAAACAAUUUC